GCCCACCCUCUCUUCCUCCACGCGAUCUAGCAACCGCUCCCACCGACUCGUUUUCUCUCUCGCCACCCCGAUUUGUCUGCCGCCAUGGCAUCGGCAUCGCGUGCGCUCCUCCUCUCCCGUGCGCUCUAGCCUGGCGUCGUGUACCUUCGCAUCCCCGGCCGCCUACGCUCGAUCGCUGCGGACGUGAGCCUACUUGCAACCCAGAGAGAGAUCGAGGCGAUGUGCAAUGGGCACGAGGCUGCCACCAGGGCGGAAGAGGACGAAGAGCAGGAACCGAUGCAGAAGCGGUGAACGGGGAGGAAGGAGCAGGAUGGGGAAAACUCAGAAGGCGGGUGAAGCCUCCAGGGCCUGGUGGAGACAUUCACGUCGCGGUCGGAGUCGGUGCUGGGAGGCUACCACCAACCUCGAGGACCUCGGCUCGGGGUUCCGCUUCGAGACGGCAGCGCUCCAGGCCGUCGCCGCACACGCUGCCCCGACGCUACCCAACGCAUUGGAGGCCACCGCGUCUGCCUCCUCCAAUAAAGUCAAGUCCAUCGGUCAGGUCGUUGAUGACCUCAAUACUGUCGCCGGUCUCCUCUCGAACCUACAAGAUCGUCGAUUACGUCGACGUCAAGAUGAACAGCACCGUCCACAAGGGGAUGCCGCACCAGUCGCGUCAGGAACACCAACACCACCAGGUGUGCCAUCGGCGUCGAAAUAAACAAGCAGUUUUAGCUGAAGUAGCACUAUAUCAGGCGUCAGAAUGGCACCACAUCCUCCACGAGGGAGGUUACUGUUGCGGGAGUCUUCAGCAGGUCACUCGCCACAUGCGCCUUCCAGCAGACCGACAAUGAAGCGUUGCUUGCUCGCUCCUCGACGACCAAGGAGACCGAAAAAACUGCUAGAAAAAGGCAUGUCUCACUAACUGAAACUAUACUUCUUGCGUGAAAUAUGGCAAGCUUCACAUGUGAAAAACUACCAGUUACACAAUGAAAAACUGUAGAUUUCACUGAACAUGUGAAGCUUGAGGUGCUAACCACGACUAUGCUUUUAUUUAUGUUCUUAUUUUCACUCAAUAAAGUAUUUUGUUCUCAUGUCCGGUGCUCUUGUGUCUACUGGUUAUAAACAAUAAAUGCUAUGAUGGAGCUAAGGGUGAUCUGUGGUCAUGUGGAGUGAUUUUCUUUGUCCUCAUGGCGGGGUACCUCCCAUUUAAAGAUUCAAACCUGAUGUCGCUUUACAAGAAGAUCUUCAAAGCGGAUUUCAGUUGCCCAUCCUGGUUCUCCACAAGUGCAAAGAAGCUCAUCAAGAAGAUACUUGAUCCUAAUGCUAACACUAUGAGUUCUGUUGUUUGUAGCCAUCAUUUAACUCAUUUUGUUCAACAUCUGCAGAGUUAAUAACUGUGUACCAUCGUUCUGUGGCCUGUGUAGAUAAUAGCUAUUGCGGAGCACAUUAACAAUGAGUGGUUCAAGAAGGUUUAUCAACCUCCCAGAUUUGAAACAACAGAUGUUAUUAUGGACGCAACUUUGAUCCUGAAUGCGCACAACUUUAGUUGUUCUGUCUGUUUUUAGAGGAUUCAUUUUUAGAUAGGUUGAAUAUUGUCAAAAUUUGGUUGUUCGAAAUGGUUAUGAUUGUUGAGUUGAUUCUUGAUAGCAUUACUAAACAAUAACCUAUGCGUGCACAAGUGUCCCUCAUUGCAAUGCACGAGCAUAUACCUAUCUUGUCACUGAGUUUGAUUCUUUGGUGCCAGGUGCUUCUAAUAUCAAUGUCACUGACAGCCAGAUCCCACUGACUGUGCCAAACUCUCACAUUGGAAGAGAUGUUGUUGUUCACGCUGCUCCUGGUGAUCUUAGAAAGGGCCAUCGAAUCUGUUUCAAGUUCCAGCAAUGGAGCAGUGAAGCACACAUUCAUGAGGAUUGACAGAUGAAUCGACGAGAGCCAUGGAAGCAGCCUUUGCUCAAGAAAGGUGACAUCGUGGUCGUGGAGAUCUCCAACCUCUAUCAGGUGGCUAUGCUGGUCAACGAUCUGUGCAGGUCGAAGAGCGUGAACGACCUAUCCUCCCCAUCAUGCCAAACCCACAAGGACGACGACGACAACAACCUAGAGGACGAGGAUGAGUGGCAGGACGGGAAAAAGUUUAAUGCGGUGGCCACCUUCAAGAUCCUCGGCGAGGUUGACAUUGCUCACCUUAGUUAGACUUUAGAAACCCAGUCAUCUGCUUCUGCGUUGGUGGUGCUGAGUUCGUGCAUUUCAGAGUGUUCGCUGCUACUGUUAGUGAUACUGCUCCCCUUUUUGGUUGUUGCCACGAGCUUAGAUUUCAUAAGCUAACCGCCGUCGUUAGUGAAACAGCUCAUUAUGAUCCUAAUUGUUCUGUAAAUUUUCAAGUUUAAAUAGCCAUGCCUAUUUUACUGAUUGAACAGAUGCAACACGUUAUUGUGUACCAUACUUUGUGUAAGUCGUCGACUUGGUUGAC